rnacentral:rRNA from 1 species
CAAGCCCUAGCUUGANNUUGGGGCAUGCCUACGGGCAGCUCUUAAAGUCAGUGGCAGUGCCUUCCGGCUCUAAGCGUAGUANUACUUCUCGCUAUAGGGUCUGGUGGUCCACGCGCCAGAACCUCAAACCUUCUAUGGUUGACCUCGGAUCAGGUAGGGGUACCCGCUGAACUUAAGCAUAUCAAUAAGCGGAGGAAAAGAAACCAACAGGGAUUGCCUCAGUAACGGCGAGUGAAGCGGCAAUAGCUCAAAUUUGAAAUCUGGCUCUUUCAGGGUCCGAGUUGUAAUUUGUAGAAGAUGCUUUGGGUGUGGCUCCGGUCUAAGUUCCUUGGGACAGGACGUCGUAGAGGGUGAGAAUCCCGUAUGUGACUAGCCGCCUUCGCCCGUGUAAAGCUCUUUCGACGAGUCGAGUUGUUCGGGAAUGCAGCUCAAAAUGGGUGGUAAAUUUCAUCUAAAGCUAAAUAUUGGCCAGAGACCGAUAGCGCACAAGUAGAGUGAUCGAAAGGUGAAAAGCACUUUGGAAAGAGAGUUAAACAGUACGUGAAAUUGUUGAAAGGGAAGCGCUUGCAACCAGACUUGCGCGCGGUUGAUCAUCCGGUGUUCUCACCGGUGCACUCUGCCGUGCUCAGGCCAGCAUCGGUUUUGGUGGUUGGAUAAAGACCUUAGGAACGUAGCUUCUCUCGGGGAGUGUUAUAGCCUUCGGUGCAAUGCAGCCUACCGGGACCGAGGACCGCGCUUCGGCUAGGAUGCUGGCGUAAUGGUUGUAAGCGACC